ACUGAAGUAUUUCUAAGUAGUAACAAAAGAGACAGAUGCUAAAGCCCGUGGCCUCUCAUUCUGACUCUGCCAUAGGCUGAUGUUGUCAGCAAGUCAUUUGACUGUGCUCCUUUUUCCCUCAUCGACAGUCAAACAAUAGCACUCUCUCCCCGACUUCUAAGUGCUAUAAAGCUUAAUUAAUAGAAAGCCCUUUGAGCAGAGAUUAGAGGGGAGGAGUGGUGGAUGCUCCCCCUCCUCUAACUUCAAGGUUCAAGACUCACAGAGGACUCCCCCUGCAUCAGCUAGUGCUACUCGAGUGUCUUGUAAGGUCACAGCGUCUCUGAGAGCCGGUGAGGGAGGGUGUUUUCUAAAGCAUCCUGCACUAGCCCAGCUCUGUUUCAGCUGGGCCCAACUGCACAUAUACUAUUGGCAUCAACAGGAGCAGAAUUAGGCCAUGUGGGACAUGGCCUCCCAUCCUGACAGUAAAAAAAGCCUUGGAUGUAGAAGAAUUCCAGAGGGACAUUCGCAGCACAAAAACCUUCUCCCUCGGAAAUAGGCAAUAUCAACGGAAGAACUGAAGUAACUGUGUGCACUUACUAUUAGAACAUGCAUGCUGGCAAAGCAAGCUCUUUUACACCAAAUGAUGCCAGAAUCAUUAGAAGUGGAAUAAUUGUUCUGAAACAAAAUCAUUUGUAUUUGGAACACUGUGUCUGCCCUGGGGAGACUUAUCUGCAUAGUAAAAAUGGUAAAAUUAUUCUGCUAUAGUGACGACAGUCUGUUUUCCCAUGUAGAAACCUCUAACUGGUUCUUGGUAGGUGACUGAUCCACACAAACAAACAGGACUCUCAAUGAUUUAUAUGAAGAUAUUUGUGAAACCAACUCAUCAGACUGCUUCUCAUUAAACUGAUUCAUGAAGAACUUAGAGUAAAACAAUUUUGUGACGACAAACUGAACUGAACAAGCAACAGGUUUGGGUCCAACAGGGUAAGCACUGGCCUGAGACUUGGAAGACUGCAGGAUAUACUUCUUGGUACUGACAAUGCUUGAUUUGGUGAGCUUGGUUAAGUCAUUUCCCUUGUCUUAGCUUCAUUUUCAUUAGCUUUCAUUUUCAUCUGUAAAAUCACAGAAUCACAGAAUCACAGAAUCGUUUAGGUUGGAAGGGACCUCUGGAGAUCAUCUAGACCAACCUCCCUGCUCAAGCAGGGUCACCUAGAGUGUAUUGCCCAGGAUCACAUCCAGACGGGUUUUGAAUAUCUCCAGGGAAGGAGACUCCACUACC
rnacentral:lncRNA from 1 species